AUCAUCAGUCUGUAGAGAUAUGGGGGAUUUUAAGAUGAUAUUGGAACUCUACUCUACGAAGAUCUCCAGCGUUUUCCUAACUGUGACACUGAAACACAAGUAAAGGAGAGCAAUGUUGUCAUAGCAUAAGAAUUGACUUCAAAGCACACUUGAGCAAGGAGAUGCUCCUCAUUAGCAAAAAUGUUUUGCGCCUCGACGUUCAGUCAUCCGGAUUGCCACUAUUUGAGCAACCCAAAUUGAGAACUGGAAUGGACUUCGAAGGAAUUCGUGGCCUCCUUGGUGUUGCGAUCUUUAUGGGCAAUAUCUUGUUAUGUAUGAAAGGAUGAGAACUAGAUGACUUUAUCUGUAGCUCGAAAUUUUGGGGACAUGUAAAGGAUCUGUUAGAGAAUGCUUUUAUGUUAAGAGAUAGUAAUCUUAGAGAUGUCACAUGCUUAUGUAAUAAGAGUCUUUUGACUUAUUAGAGUGAACUUAUUACAAUAUAAUUUUUGCUU